GUCCCUGUAGCUCAGUGGUUAGAGCACUCGCCUGACAAGCGAGAGGACCCGGGUUCAAUUCCCGGGCAGAGUGAAACC